rnacentral:tRNA from 1 species
GCGCAUUGUAGCUUUUGGCACAUCCUUCACACGGAUGGGGUCACUGGUUCAAAUCCAGUAUCGCCCA